rnacentral:rRNA from 1 species
UACGAAGGUGGCAAGCGUUACUCGGAAUUACUAGGCGUAAAGGGCAGGUAGGUGGUUUGGUUAGUCUGUUGUGAAAGCUCCUGGCUUAACUGGGAGAGGCCAACAGAUACUGCCAGACUUGAGUGUGGGAGAGGAUACUGGAAUUCCUGGUGUAGCGGUGAAAUGCGCAGAGAUCAGGAGGAACACCGAUGGCGAAAGCAGGUAUCUGGACCACUACUGACACUAAGCUGCGAAAGCUAGGGGAGCAAACAGG